rnacentral:rRNA from 1 species
GACGAACGCUGGCGGCGUGCUUAACACAUGCAAGUCGAACGGCAGCACGGGUGCUUGCACCUGGUGGCGAGUGGCGAACGGGUGAGUAAUACAUCGGAACGUACCUUAUCGUGGGGGAUAACGCAGCGAAAGCUGUGCUAAUACCGCAUACGCCCUGAGGGGGAAAGCGGGGGAUCGCAAGACCUCGCGCGAUUAGAGCGGCCGAUGCCUGAUUAGCUUGUUGGUGGGGUAAAAGCCCACCAAGGCGACGAUCAGUAGCUGGUCUGAGAGGACGAGCAGCCACACGGGGACUGAGACACGGCCCAGACUCCUACGGGAGGCAGCAGUGGGGAAUUUUGGACAAUGGGGGCAACCCUGAUCCAGCAAUGCCGCGUGAGUGAAGAAGGCCUUCGGGUUGUAAAGCUCUUUUGUCAGGGAAGAAACACCGGCUCUAACACAGUCUGGGAAUGACGGUACCUGAAGAAUAAGCACCGGCUAACUACGUGCCAGCCGCCGCCGUAA